CCACAAGCCAGGAUGACCUAAAUGGUCCCAGUGACAGGUGGGGAAAGGUGUCACCAUCCACCACAGGGGAGCCCAGGGGACAGGGUGAGCCAUGGGGCAGGUGUGUUGUUAAUGAGUCAGCGGAGCAGCUACCUAAGCGACAGGGAUGAACUGACUCGGGCACCCUGCUGGAGCGACUUGGGGUCUGUGGGUCAGCCCCACCAGGGGAGGACCCAGCUGGUACACCCACCCACUCAGGGGGGCGGGCACACGUGUGUGAUCACCCCCCCGCCACUCAGCCGCAUUUGGGGGUCUCCAAGGUCCCCCACUGACCCGGGUCUGCCCUCUUCCUGCUCCCCUCCCCCUGCAGCUGUGAGGCUCCUCCCGGGCCCGGCCCACUGAGGUCUCAGGUGGGGAAACCAAGGCUAGAGGUGAAGGAGGGGGCGGACAUCCGUGAGGCAGGCUUGUCCGACACAGGCCAACAGCCAGCCAUGUAGAACCGGUCUGACCGUGUGUGUGUGUGGUGGGGGGGUCAUGUCCACGUGCGCACAUGCGCUGGGAUCCUGCCAGGAGGCAGGCAGAACAGAGGCCGCAGCGUGCGUCAUGGGCAGCACCCCAGGGCCCCCGCCCAGCGGCAGAUGGCAGGGCUGUACCAGGCAGCAGAGCCCCGAAGGCCGGGCCAAGGGAGGGGGGGCAAGGGGCUGGGAGGCAGCCGCUUUGCUCCCCUCCACAGGUCAGAGACACAGAGACAGGUGCACGGGAGGCCACAUAUGGCCCGGGGCCUGGCCACCGGGUAGUUGCCAAGACGCCCUCUGCGGCCCUGCCCUGGCUCUGCCCACCCCACUCUCAGUCCUAGGUCAGCCCGGCCCGUGCCCUCCAGACCCCCGUGCUCGCUGAGAGAAGGCCAGCAUCAGUGUCGACGCGCUGCCCUGCGUCGGCACGCCUGCGGCCACGGUGCCCAGGCUGCCCGGACACCGGCCCCCGCCCGCCUCCCUGAGAGCGCCGCAGCCCGGCCUGCGCUGGAGUCACCAAAUCCUGGAAGGGAGACUUCAGGACCGCAGACCGUCCACAGAGGCCCUCUGCCUGGCGCGGCCCAGCCCGCCCCUCCUGCCCCAAUCCUGGGCUCCUUCCUGCCACCCUGUCCCCGCAGGCCUCGCUAAGACACCUCCCCUUGGCCUGGCUGGCGUCCCUCUGCCCCCACCUCCUCUCCCAGCCUCCUGGACCCUAGAUCGUCCCCACGGGAGACACCCCCCACCUGCACCCUGGUGGUGCUGGACAUGGGGAACGCCAGCCGGGGGCGCAGCCAGCCCCUCCUACCCGGCCUCCGGGACUCGCACGGAGCCCAGGCCUGGCCACCCACCCAAGCUCCCGUACCUCCCCUCCCCUGGCUCCUGGCCCAGUGAGCCCCAGCCUCAGGCGUCUAGCCUGUGAUGGGGCGGCAACCGCGGCCUGGCUGGCUGUUUGCGCUCCUGAGCCUCAGUUUCCCAAUAUGUAAAUGGGGAGCAAGAGGAGGACAGCAUGCCCCAUCUCUGCCCUGAGAGCCCCACGAAGGAUGCCGGUACCUGGAAUCCAGGACCCGAAGGACGCCCCCCAGGCCUGAGCUAGUUCCCGCAGCUGCCCCCCCCCCCCCGCCCCACUUCAGGCCAACAUGCACCCCGAGCCUGCCCAGCCGGCCCUGCCCUGGUCCCGGGCUCUGGGCCUUGGGAAGAGGCAAAGCCCAGGCGAGAGGGAGCCACUGAAGGUUUCCAGCCAGGGAGUGGUGUUCGGAAGCAGGCUCCAGAGGUGUCCCGAGAAGGAGGGCCAGCGGGGGUCGAGAGCAGCAGAGCCUGGGCGCUGGGGCUGGGGGAGGGCCGGGCGGGGGUGGGGUGGACACCGGGGCCCCUGUAGUUGGGGGGGGGGGGGCUCGGCCCUGGGUCCCAGAGGAGCUGCCUCGCCGGCCUGGGAGGGACUCCAGGGCCGGGUCGAAACCCCGGACUGGCAGCGCGUCCCAGAAACCACAAGUCAGCGGCUCCCCUCCGGCUGACGCUGCCUGGAAAGCCACUCUGGGAACGCCCCGGGUGCGGCACAGAGACGGGGGUGAGAGGGCAGAGGGUCAGUGUCGGAUAUUGCCUGGGGCCCUCAGGGGAAGGACCGAGUCCCCAGGGUGGGGCCUGGGCCGGAAGGGAGGAGCCUGGCCUGGCUGCGAGUGGGGGGCACCUGCAACGCCCCCCAUCGGGUCUCCCGGGCAGUGCUGGGUGAUGACAGGCUCAGCGCGGAAGCCCCGGGGGCCCAGACCCCCAAGGGGCUGACGCUGCUGUGCUGUUGAUGAAGGAGAGACAAGGCCCCCGUCUGGAGCCCAGCCAGGCCCUGGGGGGGGCCCAAAAGGAGGUAGAGGGAGCUGGCACAGGGUCCACUCUGGGCCAGGUUGGCUCUUAGGCACCUCUUGGUUCCCCCCCACCUCCGGCCCCCUGCGCAGGGCUGCCCCCCGCCCCCCCCCACCGUGCCCUGAGGAAACUGCCCCCCCAGGGCAGUGGGGGGGAGCCAGGCCCACAGGAAGCAGGAAGGGGGUCUGGGCAGGGAGGCGCUGGUGGCUUGGGAUGGGGAAUUUCUUGGGCGUAGGGGAGCUUAGCCAGAGAGUAAAAGCACAGAAUUCUUUCCAUUUCUCUGUGGUGACUCAGUAGCUGUUCCCCCCCUCCCCGCCCCCCACCCCGGGUGACUGCGUCAGUCCCCGGAAGGCGCCUGACCUCUAGCGUGGGGUGAGCGCAC